UUUUCCAAUAUCAAUAAGCGGAGGAAAAGAAACCAACAGGGAUUGCCUCAGUAACGGCGAGUGAAGCGGCAAAAGCUCAAAUUUGAAAUCCCCCCGGGGAGUUGUAAUUUGAAGAUUGCGUCUUGGAGGCGACCGUGUCUAUGUUCCUUGGAACAGGACGUCACAGAGGGUGAGAAUCCCGUGCGGCACGGCCCCCGGCUCCUUAUAAGGCGCUCUCGACGAGUCGAGUUGUUUGGGAAUGCAGCUCAAAGUGGGUGGUAAAUUCCAUCUAAAGCUAAAUACAGGCGAGAGACCGAUAGCGAACAAGUACAGUGAUGGAAAGAUGAAAAGCACUUUGAAAAGAGAGUGAAACAGCACGUGAAAUUGUUGAAAGGGAAGGGCAUGCCGUCAGAUUGUCAGUGUGGGUAAGAAGCGGGGUACAAAGACUGUGGAACGUGGCCCUCGGGUGUUAUAGCCGCAGUUCAUGCCCCGUCUCUUUCCGAGGCCUGCUUUGAGGACACCGACGUAAU
rnacentral:rRNA from 1 species